GAUGAAGAACGUAGCGAAAUGCGAUAGGUAAUGUGAAUUGCAGAAUUCAGUGAAUCAUCGAAUCUUUGAACGCACAUUGCGCCCCCUGGUAUUCCGGGGGGCAUGCCUGUCCGAGCGUCAUUGCUGCCCUCAAGCACGGCUUGUGUGUUGGGCUUCCGUCCCUGGCAACGGGGACGGGCCCAAAAGGCAGUGGCGGCACCAUGUCUGGUCCUCGAGCGUAUGGGGCUUUGUCACCCGCUCCCGUAGGUCCAGCUGGCAGCUAGCCUCGCAACCAAUCUUUUUAACCAGGUUGACCUCGGAUCAGGUAGGGAUACCCGCUGAACUUAAGCAUAUCAAUAAGCGGAGGA
rnacentral:misc_RNA from 1 species